rnacentral:rRNA from 1 species
AUACAAGGCAUACGGCUCAGUAACGCGUAGUCAACCUACCCUAUGGACGGGGAUAAUCUCGGGAAACUGAGCAUAAUACCCGGCAGACCACUUACCCUGGAAUGGUUUAUGUUCCAAAUGAUUUACCGCCAUAGGAUGGGACUGCGGCCUAUCAGUUUGUUGGUGAGGUAAUGGCCCACCAAGACUAUUACAGGUACGGGCUCUGAGAGGAGUGGCCCGGAGAUGGGUACUGAGACACGGACCCAGGCCCUAUGGGGCGCAGCAGGCGAGAAAACUUUGCAAUGUGCGAAAGCACGACAAGGUUAAUCCGAGUGGUUUUUGCUAAAGGAACCUUUUGUUAGUCCUAGAAACACUAACGAAUAAGGGGUGGGCAAGUUCUGGUGUCAGCCGCCGCGGUAAAACCAGCACCUCAAGUGGUCAGGAUGAUUAUUGGGCCUAAAGCAUCCGUAGCCUGAUCUGUAAGUUUUCGGUUAAAUCUGUACGCUCAACGUACAGGCCGCCGGGAAUACUGCAAAUCUAGGGAGUGGGAGAGGUAGACGGUACUCGGGAGGAAGUGGUAAAAUGCUUUGAUCUCUCGAUGACCACCUGUGGCGAAGGCGGUCUACCA